ACUCAAAUGAAUUGACGGGGACUCGCACAAGCAGAGGAUCAUGUGGUUUAAUUCGAUGGUAAACGAAGAACCUUACCAGGGUUAGAAAUGCAGCUGAAGACGAGCAGAAACGUUCGUCGCCGCAAGGCAGCUGCACAGGUGCUGCAUGGUCGUCGUCAGUUCGUGGUUUGAAUUGUUCCCUUCAGUGGGGUAACGAACGCAACCCUCAUUGCCUGUUACAAGUGUCAGGCGAGACUGCCCAGCUUUUUGUUCAUAGAUGCGCGAUCCGCGCGCAUUGUGGCCAAGAAGCUGGGAGGAAGGUGAGGAUGACGCCAGAUCAGCAUGGCCCUCUGAUACCCUGGGCUACACACGUGAUACAAUGGCGCGUACAACGCGAUGCGACGGGGAGACCCUGAGCCAAUCGUUAGAAAGCGCGCCCUAGUUCCGAUAGGAGUCUGAAACUCGACUCCUUGAAGCUGGAUUUGCUAGUAAUCUCGGGUCAGCUAUACCGAGGUGAAUACGUUCUCGAGUCUUGUACACACCGCCCGU
rnacentral:rRNA from 1 species